rnacentral:piRNA from 1 species
GGAAUUUUCAACCUUUUCUGUACC